UGCAGAUCUGCCCACAACAACAGUGGCCUUGCAGAGGAAUGUGGGAACCACGGGCGGACACCACCCAGCCACAGGUCAGGGUGGGAGCAGUGACAUGGAGCACACAAUGACAGAUCCGGUGCCAACAACACAGGUCUCCAGGAUGGAUACUGCUCCAGUCAGGCCUUUCACAGACACAGGUGAGUGGAGUGUCAUGCUGAAAAACACCAGAUUUGCACUGGCAAGGGCACGGUGGCAAACACCAUCCCACACCAGCUCCACAUCUGGCUGCUGUGCUUGUGGCUGCAGGGAACAAAUCCCCUGGCAUGCCAAAUACCAGGCGUUAUCCAGGCAGGAGCUGCGCUCCUGACACCCGCCCACACGCUUGUUUUUGGGGGUGUUUGCAGCCUGAAGUUUGCUGUUUGUCUCCAUGCAGAGACGCCCCAUCCCUGUAAGUGUUCAAGGCCGGGUUGGACGGGGCUUGGAGCAAGCUGGUUGGUGGAAGGUGUCCCUGCCCAUGGCAGGGCGUGGGACGAGAUGGGCUUUAAGAUCCCUUCCAAACUAAACCAUCUCGGCAUUCUGUGACUGUCGGGGAGUGGCAGAAGCCCCAGGUGGCCCCGGCGCCUUCUCGGGUGCCUGCUGUUUGGGGGGCCGGCCCGUGUGUCAGCGCUGUCCCCCCGCAGGUUCCCCGCUGCUGUACGGGCCGGCGGCCGCGCUGGGCGGCGCCGCGCUGGGCGCGCUGCUGGCGGCGGCGCUGGGCUGCUGGCGGCGGCGGAGGAAGGACGGUGAGUAGCGACAAACCCAGCCGGGGACGGGCGUGGGGACAGCCCCGGGAGGAAGGGACAGCCCCGGGAGGAGGGGACAGCCCCGGGAGGAGGGGACAGCCCCGGGAGGAGGGGACGGGGCGGGCCGGCGGGCGGGACAGUCCCAUCCCCGUCACUCUCAUCACCGUCGCUCCCGUCCCCAGUUGAUCCCUUCCAGGGAGAAGCCUGUGGGAGGGUUUUCCCCUAAACGUUGAACACUGGGAAGCUGCGUUUUGUUCUGUGACACAUAAAACAAGUCGAUGCAUAUCUUAGAUUUUUUUUAUUUUUUUUUUUUUUUUCAGAACGUCUCUAUGAAGUUGCUUUGUGAGUGCAAUUUUCUACUUGGUACUUGGGACGUUAAGACUGAGGGCAGGGUGCUGGUAUCUGCUCCUAAAAAGCCUCCUUGCUUAGUGAAAAGCAAAGGUUUAUUUGCCUUACGGGGGAGUAUCUGAAAACCUUAGUUAGCAACAUGAGGGCUUAACACAGGGUCACAGGAGAUAGACAGACAA
rnacentral:lncRNA from 1 species